rnacentral:rRNA from 1 species
AUUGAACGCUGGCGGCAGGCCUAACACAUGCAAGUCGAGCGGAUGAAGGGAGCUUGCUCCUGGAUUCAGCGGCGGACGGGUGAGUAAUGCCUAGGAAUCUGCCUGGUAGUGGGGGAUAACGUCCGGAAACGGGCGCUAAUACCGCAUACGUCCUGAGGGAGAAAGUGGGGGAUCUUCGGACCUCACGCUAUCAGAUGAGCCUAGGUCGGAUUAGCUAGUUGGUGGGGUAAAGGCCUACCAAGGCGACGAUCCGUAACUGGUCUGAGAGGAUGAUCAGUCACACUGGAACUGAGACACGGUCCAGACUCCUACGGGAGGCAGCAGUGGGGAAUAUUGGACAAUGGGCGAAAGCCUGAUCCAGCAAUGCCGCGUGUGUGAAGAAGGUCUUCGGAUUGUAAAGCACUUUAAGUUGGGAGGAAGGGCAGUAAGUUAAUACAUUGCUGUCUUGACGUUACCAACAGAAUAAGCAACGGCUAACUUCGUG